rnacentral:rRNA from 1 species
GACGAACGCUGGCGGCGUGCUUAACACAUGCAAGUCGAACGGUGAAGCGCCUUCCUUUUUGGUGGGUGUGGAUGAGUGGCGAACGGGUGAGUAACACGUGAGUAACCUGCCCCCUUCUUCUGGAUAACCGCAUGAAAGUGUGGCUAAUACGGGAUAUUCUGGGUCUGUCGCAUGAUGGGUCUGGGAAAGAUAUUGUUUCGGUGGGGGAUGGGCUCGCGGCCUAUCAGCUUGUUGGUGGGGUGAUGGCCUACCAAGGCGGUGACGGGUAGCCGGCCUGAGAGGGUGGACGGUCAUACUGGGACUGAGACACGGCCAAGACUCCUACGGGAGGCAGCAGUGGGGAAUAUUGCACAAUGGGCGCAAGCCUGAUGCAGCGACGCCGCGUGAGGGAUGGAGGCCUUCGGGUUGUGAACCUCUUUCGCCAGUGAAGCAGGCCUGCCUCGUUUGUGGGUGGGUUGACGGUAGCUGGAUAAGAAGCGCCGGCUAACUACGUG